GCUGAUAUAGCCUAGUGGUUAAGGUAAAGCGUUAUAUCUUGACCCGCCAGGGUUAAAAACCCAGUCUCGGCA